CCCGGGGCUCAACCCCGGGAGUGCAUUUGAAACUGUAGGGCUUGAGUGAAGUAGAGGCAGGCGGAAUUCCCGGUGUAGCGGUGAAAUGCGUAGAGAUCGGGAGGAACACCAGUGGCGAAGGCGGCCUGCUGGGCUUUAACUGACGCUGAAGCACGAAAGCGUGGGUAGCAAACAG
rnacentral:rRNA from 1 species